UACGAAGGGUGCAAGCGUUAAUCGGAUUUACUGGGCGUAAAGGGCGCGUAGGCGGAUUGAUAAGUCAGUUGUGAAAGCCCAGGGCUUAACCUUGGAAUUGCAAUUGAAACUGUCGAACUAGAGUCGAGUAGAGGGGAGCGGAAUUUCCGGUGUAGCGGUGAAAUGCGUAGAUAUCGGAAGGAACACCAGUGGCGAAGGCGGCUCUCUGGACUCUGACUGACGCUGAGGCGCGAAAGCGUGGGGAGCAAACAGG
rnacentral:rRNA from 1 species